UGGACACGGCGGAGUGCGGAGCCGCCCGUAAGAUGCUCUGACCUUUGACCCCUGCCGUUCAGCUCUAGGGCCCGUGCAGGCCACACCAUGAACACCUCCCCAGGCACGGUGGGCAGUGACCCGGUCAUCCUGGCCACUGCAGGCUACGACCACACCGUGCGCUUCUGGCAGGCCCACAGCGGCAUCUGCACCCGGACGGUGCAGCACCAGGACUCCCAGGUGAAUGCCUUGGAGAUCACACCGGACCGCAGCAUGAUUGCUGCUGCAGGUUACCAGCACAUCCGCAUGUAUGAUCUCAACUCCAAUAACCCUAACCCCAUCAUCAGCUACGACGGCGUCAACAAGAACAUCGCGUCUGUGGGCUUCCACGAAGACGGCCGCUGGAUGUACACGGGCGGCGAGGACUGCACAGCCAGGAUCUGGGACCUCAGGUCCCGGAACCUGCAGUGCCAGCGGAUCUUCCAGGUGAACGCACCCAUUAACUGCGUGUGCCUGCACCCCAACCAGGCAGAGCUCAUCGUGGGUGACCAGAGCGGGGCUAUCCACAUCUGGGACUUGAAAACAGACCACAACGAGCAGCUGAUCCCUGAGCCCGAGGUCUCCAUCACGUCCGCCCACAUCGAUCCCGACGCCAGCUACAUGGCAGCUGUCAAUAGCACUGCUCCUCGCCACCUGCUCGGCUGAUCAGACGUGCAAGAUCUGG
rnacentral:sRNA from 1 species